rnacentral:rRNA from 1 species
UACGAAGGGGGCUAGCGUUGUUCGGAAUUACUGGGCGUAAAGCGCACGUAGGCGGAUACUUAAGUUAGGGGUGAAAUCCCAGAGCUCAACUCUGGAACUGCCUUUAAUACUGGGUAUCUCGAGUCCGGAAGAGGUGAGUGGAAUUCCGAGUGUAGAGGUGAAAUUCGUAGAUAUUCGCAAAGAACACCAGUGGCGAAGGCGGCUCACUGGCCCGGAACUGACGCUGAGGUGCGAAAGCGUGGGGAGCAAACAGG